CUAGCCCACCUCACCCCGAUGUAAAAAAAAAAAAAAAAACACCUAGCUAUCUCCCCAUUCGCAAUGAGCAGUUUUCACACGAUGAUGUUCCUCUUCCCCCGGCCCUUCUAUUUUUCGCGAUUGCGGCGGCGGCGGCAGGGACAGCACCAGAGGACGACCCGACUGCUAUGGCUACUUCUCUCGAGCGUGGUGUACUCCCCUUUCCCUCUCCCAUGCGGUGGCGAACCGGAGGCGACGUGGGCAGUGCAACGAUCGGGGCGAGCUCGGCGGCGCCAACAGCCUUCUACGGCAUCCAUCUCCUCCCUCGGCGGUCUUAUCGCCCCCCUCCUCCUCUUCUUAACCUCUCCUCCUCCACUAAUUUCUGAAUUUCUAGGAUUAGGGUUAUUGAUUUUUGGGAGCGGUGCAGGGGAAGGGGAAGAAACUAGGGAAGUAAAGGAAAAAAGAGGAGCUUAGGGGGUGAUGGAGGUGAUGCUGGAGACGGGCGCCCGACAGUGAGAUGAUGGAGGUGGAGAAGAAGGCCAAUCCGAUGACAUAGAAGAAGAGGAGAGCUCAAUGCUGCGGAGAGAAAGGAACAUCAGUAGAGUAUCCGACUUUGAUUCAGCUGAGACAUUUUCGUUUUUUCGCAAGACAUGUGAAUCCUCUCUGCGUUUUUUGCUUUUGUUUAGAAUUCACGAAUUUUCUUCCUUGUAGCUAUAAAUGAUGGUUCCGACUUAAUUGGAUUUUAGUAAUGACGUACAUAAAGAAUCAAUCUAUACGGCUGUACCUAGCUGACAAUGCUAAUUCUCUGUAAAUUUGUAUUAUCAAAAUUUGCACAAACCUACGAGCAAAAUUUUCUUCAAUUAAAGAUGAUUCAUUUUAUGAGGAAUUUGUUUUAUAUUUAGUGAAUUUAUUAGGCAAACAAGGAAUUGGAAUUCUGCCAAGAAAUCUAGGGGCAGAAGAAGAUGCAUGCAAGGGACUUGCGGACUAGGCAAAUGCUGUGCAGGCGAGAAAAUGCUCAAGUUCCAUGACUCCAAGUUCACCUUGAUGUAUUCAGGUAUCGCACAGCCCAUAAAGAACCGCUGGUAAUAUGAUUAAGGCAUGUGAAUAAUCUUCUAAAUUUGUUCAUAAGGCAAAUCCUCGAGGUUGGCAGCACAUGUCCAAUUCGAUCUGUUUCCACUGCACACACAUGUUCUUUUUCAAUUAGCAAUGCCAAUUAGCGAUCGUCUCAAUGUUAUGUCUCUGUUUUCUUUUGCAAUCUGCAAGGAACUCAAAGAUAGUUGUACGUUUGCUCACGUGCAUUCUAGUCCAUAAAUUGUUUGGGCAAUACAGAACAGAAGAAUAUGUACAUGUUUGGGUACAAACUUCAGUUUGUUUUGAUGCUGAUGAAUUAGUUGAAUCCUGAAUUUUGUUGUUAAGAGAAUAGAUAGCUCUCAUCCCGCAAAAGAAAAGGAAGUAAGCUAGAGCUCUCCUAUGAAUGUGUAUGAGAUCUUCUGGCAAUGCUAGGAUUUUGAGGGCUUUCGUUUAAAUUAAGUGUGCAGUUCUUGCUUCUGAUCAUUACCAUUACUUAAGUGUUAAUUUUGUUAUCUUGUGUGUACAAUAUGCUAUUCUCUAUUCAGCUGACUGCAUGACCAAUAUUACUUAUUUAGUAUAUGAGUAAUUUAAUUUUCUUGUUUCAUGCAGUUUGGAGCAAUUCGUGAUUACUACCAGCUUCAAAUUAGAUUUAUCUGAAUUGCAAUGAGGUACAAGACUGUCCCUCUUCCUUGCUGUCUUAUCUUCGGUGUUUAUUUGGUUGAACUAGCAUAAACCUAACUUUUAAUACUGACGUGUUUCCGCCCAAUUUGUGCAGUAAGCCAUGCUAGUCAUCAAGUAAUCAAUCUCAAUGUUCCCUUAAUAGAUGAUUGCUAUUGAUUUGCUGUGGCUUAACUAUCAACGACAAAACAUUUCCCUUUUCCCCCUAAUACUGGUUUAUUUGCUCCUUCUAGGAGGCCUGCAUUUUGCUAAUUGUCUAUUUGCUAGAGAAGUAGUGGCAAUGAACUGAUGCCUUAUCUGAAUAGCUUCAGAAAUUCUUAACAUGAAAUACAUAAUAUACUUAUCUGUAUGUGGUUCAUGCUUCGUUGUUUAAAUUUUCUCUUUGUUAAAUGUUGGCGAGUAGAUAUAUAUUCUUGAUUCGUUAUCCUGAAUCUGAAUUUGGGGAAGAUGAUCUAACUAGCUUCUAAAUCAGCUGAGUUGUACUGAUGAUGGUGUGUUUGCUGCUCACACAUUUUAUUCCAAGGACCAUUAUGACAAAUAAUGGCCACUUAUAGGUUGCUGGUAAUGCAUUUUCACACCAUACAUAUGCUUGUGCUUACCCCCGUUGGGUAAUCAAUAUGAUACUCGUGCACUAAUUUGUGGAUUUCGGUUUGUUUUAUACAUGAAAAUAAGGUAAGAGUGUUAUGUCAGCUUCAAGUCCCUCGAAACCACAUACUUUUGUUCGUCUUGUUCUAGGUUACCUUCUUCCAUGGUGGCAUGAAUCUGUCUUACAAAAAAUAGACGUGGAUGCUUUCUUCGUCAGUUCCAUGUAAUUUUUGUCUCGUUGAUCUGUAAUUUCGGAUGUAUGUGAGUUUUUGAGGUGCACAGUUCACUAGCAUUACCUAGGUUAAGCAUAUCUUUGCUCCCACAUUUGCAUGACACAUGAUUUAUACUUUGGAUUGUAUAUGAAUUACUGUUUGUGUAUGCAUAUGCUACAGUUUGCACCUCUAGUAUUUUAACUUCCUACUUCAGUGGAUGUGGUAAAGUGCAACAAUACUCAAUUAGGCCUUACUGAUUUUUAUGGUCGUCUUUUUAGCAUCUGGCAAAGCAGUAAGAUUAAUGAUGUAAUGGCCGUAACUAUACUUCUUGUCGAAAAGCGAUCUAUGGGAAAACCUCCUCAAGAAUCUGGAGGAUGUAGUGAGAGAUCUGACCUGGGAUUGUUACUCUCAUACAACCCUAUUCACAUCCAUGUUGUACUUGCACUUGCGAGCUUCUCAUUGGCUCUGAAAAUUGAAUGAAACAGUUCUCAUUUUCAGUCAUAUUUUUCUGGGUAAUCCACACGGGACGAAAAGCACAUUAGGCAUGCAUACAAUUGUCAAAUUUUACAGGCUGAAAUUUUGGAAUAAUUGUCAAUUGGUUUUCAGUCGAUUGGCUGUCAAUCUUUGCAGAUUUAUCAGUUUAACCCGCCCUCAAUCUAGGAGUAAUCUUGUAUAACAUUCAGUUACAAGACACAAACUAGUUAAAUAUGAUGACUCCCACCAUUGUAUCUGGCACACUUUGAUAAAAUACAUGGUUUAGUGUGCAUUGAAACAAUAGUUACGGAGUUUGCCUGUUUAUAUUGUUUCUCACUAUACUUUUGAUUCAUAGUGUGUUAUGGGUUCAUGUGAUUCCGAACAGUUUGGUACAUCUAAUAUCCCUCUGAGUUAUGUAUGCUUUCAACAUUGUGUCCAGUUUAGGGUAGUGAAGCAUAUUAAUCCUAAAGUGUUAUAUGCGCUUGUGUGUUGGGGGCCUCUAUUUGUUUGUUAGUAUACUUCUGAGAACUGAUAAUAUUAUGCUUUUCAGGUAUCUGUUCAAGUGGAUGACAGUAAAUGUAUGAGGGUAGAGAGUAAUGUCUUCUUAUUUAUGGUGGGUACGAGUAACAUUAAAUUGAAAUUUCAGACCUUUAACUAAUCCCUCCAUCCCACAGUAUAAGAUGUUUUUGCAAACUAAACAUAGCUUGCAAAAACGUCUUAUAUUGUGGGACGGAGGGAGUAGUAACCAGUAGCAAAAUUCAGGAUUUGGUGAGAAGAAAAGUGAACCUAAGGGCUCCAAUACUAUUAAUAGCACAAUACUAUGUUGCAUUCACCGUUUCAGUCCUGGAGAGAUUGCUGAACAGAUGAAGUUGAUGGAAAAUUCUAUGGUCACCUAAAAAUUAAGCUGCUUGAAGAUCAAGUUCAGAAGUACUGCAGUCAGCUUUCAAGUUCGGUAGUAUUCAGUUUUGUAAUAGUGAUUUCUGAAUAUGUCAUGCUACUAGUUACUUAGUGCUAAGUGGCAUUCAGUUGUUUUCAAACAAUUUUUUUUUUUCUAAUUGCAAGGAUAGUUUUUGUUACAUGGGGUAUUUCCCUGAACCACUACAUGGAAUCUAUUUAUUAGACCGAUUUGUUGUUCUGUGGUUACCGAAAAUUCCUCAUGCAAGAGUUAAUUAGUGGCCUAUGUUUCUUACUAUCACCAAAAAUGCCUCCUACAGAAUUGUUAGUGGCCUAUGUUUCUUGCGAUCACAAAAAAUGCCUCCUACAGAAUUCAUAGUGGCCUAUGUUACUUAAAUCUCAUAUUUCAUUUUUGCUACAGAUCGAUGUACUCAGUCCAAUUGAAGUAGUAAUAGAUCUAACGUAAAAUGCCUGAAAUAUAGGAGCACAACCUUGUAUCUAAAAAAUAAAA